rnacentral:lncRNA from 1 species
GUAAAAUCAUAAAUAAGUGGAAGUGGAAAAGGGCAAAGAAAAUCAAGAAAAUGGAUGGCCCAGAUCAGAUCACUUGAGGAGAUCAGAUAAUUGAGAUUUAAAAAGGAAACGGACGAUCCAGAUCGAGUCAUGAAGAUCUAACGGUUGAGAGAACAUGUAUAAAAGGGGAAGAGAUUAGGGUUUCCUUCAUAUGGGAGAGAAGCCAAAAAAGAGAAAGAGAGAAAGAGAGAGCAGCGAUCAGGGAGAGGAGGAAGAAGACAGUCACACAGGGAAGCCGAGAGAGAGAAAAGAGAAAGGAAAAAAGAGAAAGGCCGGAAGUGAAGAGGGGAAGGGAAAAAGAAAGGAGAGGGAAGAGAAGAGAAAGAAGGUGGUCGAACGGGAAGAAGGGAAGCUGAGAAUGACCGUUUAAGGGAAGAGGAAAGAGAGAGAAUCGCGGAGGAGGAAGAAGGAGAAAAGGAAUUGCGGUCGAGGAGCACCGUG